GGGCGUGGUGGAAAUGCCCACGCACGCACCAUUGCAUCCCCUCCAUCUUCUUCUUCCUCGCCUUCCAUGGAGCCUGAGCAAGUCCCUGCCGCAGCGCGCGGUUGACACCUGAGCGUCGAGCUGCCGCACCCGACGACUUGCACACUCACGCGCGCAUAGUGCUUUCCUUCUUAGCAUCGCGCCCUUGGAGACCCUCGCCGAUGUCGCAGCCGAAGGGAUCUUGGAAGGGAUCUGAGACCAGCGCAGCCGACAUCCGAUGCCGCGGGAGAGCGAGCAUGUGGUCUUCUACUCUCACUUCAUAUGUGGGGUUCGGCCUCCCUGCGAGCCUCUUCCUCCACUCCUUCCUCGACUUCUUCAAGCUACAGCCGCACCAUCUGGGUGCUAACGUCGUGCUGCAGCUCGCCGGCUACACCACACUCUGCGAGGGCUAUCUGUGCGUGAUGUCGGACACGGAGCUCUUGGCCCACCUCUUGUUCCUCAAGCAGCAAGGGUCGACAGCCCGUGUCAUGUCCGACUACGAGGCCGCUGUGGUCUCGGGCCGACCGAACGGGCCGUUCCACGAGAUGCCCAUUGAGGAGUGUGCCAAAAGUGGCAGAAUACAUUUUUCUAUGUGAGCAAUGUCGACCCGCAGCCGGAUUUUAUCAACCAAACGCCGUUUGCCGACCCUCGCCGCUCGCCAAGACGAAUGGGGGCCACCUGCCCAAGAAACCGGCACAAGAGGUGCUAAACAUUUGAUGCCGGAUCGCCGAGAUGACGGCGCGCAAGGGGUCACCGGGACCGACCUCAUCACCGCCAUCAUCGUGUGAUGGGUGCUGCCCCUGCAGCGCUGGCCACACAAGAUCGGCGAGAUGAGCGACUGGCACGAGCCUACCGGAUGUCGACCCGGGAGCUGACAUCGGAGCAAGUCACUGACCAGGUCAACAGCAUAUCCAAGGACAGUUGGCCCCCGAGUGGAAGUUCGGGAAGGCGCCCUACGACCGGCAAAUUCCGGUGCUAGUGGUGAGUCCCUGGUCUUUGUUUUUCGCUAUGUCUAGGUUGUUCCUUUGUCCAGAUGCGACGGGAGAGCCGCAGCUGUUUGUGGCCCAGCCGAUCCAGGACGGACCACGGGCGCAUAUGUUGUUGGACAACCUGUCGGCUUCGGAUGAGAGCGAGUCCAUCGCCGAAAACAUGGAGGCGGCCGAUUCGUAGCCGGCUGGUGCUGAAGCCGGCGCGACACGCGACGCGGGUAAGUCACCGCCCCCAAAUCUUCUACACCACUGGGCGGACAACGAUGAUGAAGGCUUAAUGGGCGUUGGCGGUGCAACACUGCUGGCUGGACGAGAUGGCAGCAUCGACCCCCGAGGCGUCUGAAGAAGACGGGCGGGACAGGGCCGUCCCGCCAGUCUGCCGCCUCACGCCGGCCACACUGGAAGAAGAUGGUGGCGCCAAAUCCGAGUACGAAGUGUGUGGCGAGAGGCGCGCCGAGCCGCCCCGGCUGCGGCGCCGAGGCGAGCCGUUCUGACGGCCAUUGGGAAUUGUACGAUCUGCAGGCGAGCGCGUACAACCAGCUCCUGGGGCGAUAUCACAUAGCCACAGCGCGGCUCGCCACCAAGGAGGAAGAGCUUCGCUAGGCCAAAGCUGUCCCGGCCGAGGUGUCGGGCCUCCGAACAUGGCUAGCUGAAGCUGGCCAGUAGCACGACCGAGCCACCACCGACAAUGACCAGCUUUGGGCCAAGGCGAAGCGGUUGGAGGCGGAGGCCAGCAAGGCGCCCAAGGCCUACCAAGCGGAGCUGGCCUGGCUGCUGGAUGAGCACGGGAUGUCGGUUGUUGCGAAGGACGUCGAGCUGAAAGCGGUCAUCAAGAAGAGCGUUGGGCUUGAGAGGGAGCUCGAGACCCGCGGCCGCGUGUGGGCCGUGUAAGGGAAUGUGAUGCUGUGCGAGGCGCAGCAUCUCGACAAGCUCUUCACCCGAAACGGCGGAGGAGGUCGUGCGCUCCUACCGGAUUACCCAGGAGGAUGCGGGCGCCAAGAUCAACCGGCACGCUGCCCGGUCCUUCACGGAGAUCAUCCUUGCCGCUGAGGCCUGCCUGAACGCCGUCGAUAAGCACAUGAAGAGACUAUUCAAGGCCGGGUUGGGCAUGAUGGCUGCUCUCUGGCCGGAGGCGGUGGCGCCCAACAGCGUCACGCGGCUGGCACAUUGGUUGGAAGCUGACGUGCACCAUCUCCAUGCAUGGAGGGUUUCAGCGGCCCGCGCGGGAGCGGACUUGGCGCUGUGGUUCAUCAUGUCUUAGUACCCGGGCGUGGACCUGGAUCGCCUGGUGGCUCAGCGAGACGACACGGAGGCCGACUUGGAGGCGGGGGCACGUCGAAUCACUGGAAAAGCCAGCUACAUUGCCUCAUUUGCUGCACAUGAUGAGUUCAACAUGGAGCGGACGAGGACGGCACACAGCUUCCCCCCGACGACUUCGGCCUGGAGCUCGAUGACCCGGCGGCUAGUUCCAACGAGAUGAGGGCCUACACGGAUGACGACGCCACGUUGGGUGAUACCGCCGCUUUGAUGGAGCCAGUGCAAGCCGACGCCGGCGUGGCGACCGGGGCCAGCUUGGAGUAGCUUGCGAGCACGGGGGCUAUCGCAUGAAGUCAUCCUGCCUUUAUCUUUUGAACUUUGUUAAGUAACAGGUCCACCCAGUAGGGGUGUAGUGUGAUGUAAUGAACUCUGGCUGUGGGCCUUUGUUAUGUAAAUAUUUUGUUGGUGUUU